rnacentral:rRNA from 1 species
GACUCUGGACAGUGGAUGUCUUGGUUCAUGUGUCUCUGUAGGAGUUAUCGUGAAUGGCAGGACACAUUAAUCACUGACAAUCUGAACGUACAUGUGACCUGGGUUCAUCUUGGGGCUACGUCUGUCUGAGUAUCA